UUGUUCAUUUGACAUAUAUUUUGGCAGAAAAUUCAUUGAUCUUGCUCAAGAGAGUUACUAAAAAGUAAGUUUCCUUUGUACCUUUCUCUUACAUAUUUGGAUUUGCCAAGUUGAUAUUAUCUGAUAUUGACUGCUUGGCUUUUCUGUGUUUUCUGCAGACUCCUAAUAUGCAGUUUGAGGCUUUGAUUUACUACCUCAUAGAUCUAAGUGAAUUACAGAUGGUUUUAGUUUUGGCUACUCUUUUGAUUUUUCUGUGUUUUCGUUUUUGCUCUAUUCCUCCCUGUAACACUACGUUACUCAUCAUUCAAGGCUCACUGGCCAUUCCCUUCAAAUCAUAUUAUGGAGGGUUAUGCAUAUAUGCUCACGCACCCCAGAAUACCUUCCGUUUUCUAUGACCACUUCUAUGAUUCGGGUGAUUCCAUUCAUGAUCAGAUCGUGAAACUAGUACAGCAGUACAGCUAGCUAGUUCCUUUAUUGACUUGUGUCUAGUAGAAGUUCUUCCUUCAUUAAGCAUUUGGACUUCCAGAUUAGUAUAUAUGGGCCAUUUUGAACUGAUGCUCAUGAUUAGGUUUGUGUACAUGAGACGAUGGUGGAUUAAUGGAAAUUGCAAUGAAUGAUUUUGGAUG